rnacentral:tRNA from 1 species
AAGAAAUUAGUUAAAUAAUAAUAAAAGUUUGUCAAACUUUAGUUGCUAGAAAAUAGUAUUUCUUG